rnacentral:rRNA from 1 species
UACGUAGGUGGCAAGCGUUGUCCGGAUUUAUUGGGCUUAAAGGGUGCGUAGGUGGCCCUGUAAGUCAGUGGUGAAAUAUCUCAGCUUAACUGAGAGGGUGCCAUUGAUACUGCAGGGCUUGAGUACAGAUGAGGUAGGCGGAAUUGACGGUGUAGCGGUGAAAUGCAUAGAUAUCGUCAAGAACACCGAUAGCGAAGGCAGCUUACCAAGCUGUAACUGACACUGAGGCACGAAAGUGUGGGGAUCAAACAGG